rnacentral:rRNA from 1 species
GUAGGUGGCAAGCGUUGUCCGGAAUUAUUGGGCGUAAAGCGCGCGCAGGCGGUCCUUUAAGUCUGAUGUGAAAGCCCACGGCUCAACCGUGGAGGGUCAUUGGAAACUGGGGGACUUGAGUACAGAAGAGGAAAGCGGAAUUCCAAGUGUAGCGGUGAAAUGCGUAGAGAUUUGGAGGAACACCAGUGGCGAAGGCGGCUUUCUGGUCUGUAACUGACGCUGAGGCGCGAAAGCGUGGGGAGCAAACAGGAUUAGAUACCCCGGUAGUCCACGCCGUAAACGAUGAGUGCUAAGUGUUAGGGGGUUUCCCGCCCCCCUUAGUGCUGCAGCUAACGCAUUAAGCACUCCGCCUGGGGGAGUACGGCCGCAAGGCUG